UACGUAGGAGGCAAGCGUUGUCCGGAAUUACUGGGCGUAAAGCGCACGUAGGCGGAUUUGUUAGUCAGGGGUGAAAUCCCGGGGCUCAACCUCGGAACUGCCUUUGAUACUGCAAAUCUCGAGUCCGAUAGAGGUGGGUGGAAUUCCUAGUGUAGAGGUGAAAUUCGUAGAUAUUAGGAAGAACACCGGUGGCGAAGGCGGCCCACUGGAUCGGUACUGACGCUGAGGUGCGAAAGCGUGGGGAGCAAACAGG
rnacentral:rRNA from 1 species